rnacentral:rRNA from 1 species
AGAGUUUGAUCAUGGCUCAGGAUGRACGCUGGCGGCGUGCCUAAUACAUGCAAGUCGAACGAAGAUGUUCUUGAGUUUACUCGGGAGCUCUUAGUGGCGGACGGGUGAGUAACGCGUUGGUGACCUGCCCUAAAGAAGGGAACAACCUCGGGAAACUGAGGCUAAUACCCUAUGUGCUUCUUAAGAUUAGAUGCUUUUGAAGUAAAGGUUCUGUGGACGAAAGGCCACAGCGCCGCUUUAGGAGGGGCCUGCGUACCAUCAGCUAGUUGGUAGGGUAAUGGCCUACCAAGGCGAUGACGGUUAGGGGACCUGAGAGGGUGACCCCCCACACUAGCACUGAAACACGGGCUAGACACCUACGGGUGGCAGCAGUAGGGAAUCUUGCACAAUCGACGAAAGUCUGAUGCAGCAACGCCGCGUGUGCGAUGAAGGCCUUCGGGUUGUAAAGCACUUUUCUGAGGGAAGAGAAAGGACGGUACCUCAGGAAUAAGUCUCGGCUAACUACGUGCCAGCAGCCGCGGUAAUACGUAGGAGGCGAGCGUUAUCCGGAUUUAUUGGGCGUAAAGAGCGUGUAGGUGGUUUGGUAAGUUGGGUAUGAAAUCUCCUGGCUUAACUAGGAGAGGUUGCUCAAAACUACCAGACUAGAGGACGAUAGAGGAAGGUGGAAUUCCCGGUGUAGUAGUGAAAUGCGUAGAUAUCGGGAGGAACACCAGUGGCGAAGGCGGCCUUCUGGGUCGUUCCUGACACUAAGACGCGAAAGCAUGGGUAGCAAACGGGAUUAGAAACCCCGGUAGUCCAUGCCGUAAACGAUGUGAACUUGGUGUCGGUGGCGUAAUAGUCACCGGUGCCGCAGUUAACGCGAUAAGUUCACCGCCUGGGGAGUACGAUCGCAAGGUUAAAACUCAAAGGAAUUGACGGGGACCCGCACAAGCAGCGGAGCGUGUGGUUUAAUUCGAUGCUACACGAAGAACCUUACCUGGGCUUGACAUAUAGGUGGUAGGGAUUCGAAAGAUGACCGACCCUUCGGGGAGCUUAUACAGGUGCUGCAUGGCUGUCGUC